rnacentral:rRNA from 1 species
GAGUAAUGUCUGGGAAACUGCCUGAUGGAGGGGGAUAACUACUGGAAACGGUGGCUAAUACCGCAUAACGUCGCAAGACCAAAGAGGGGGACCUUCGGGCCUCUUGCCAUCAGAUGUGCCCAGAUGGGAUUAGCUUGUUGGUGAGGUAACGGCUCACCAAGGCGACGAUCCCUAGCUGGUCUGAGAGGAUGACCAGCCACACUGGAACUGAGACACGGUCCAGACUCCUACGGGAGGCAGCAGUGGGGAAUAUUGCACAAUGGGCGCAAGCCUGAUGCAGCCAUGCCGCGUGUAUGAAGAAGGCCUUCGGGUUGUAAAGUACUUUCAGCGGGGAGGAAGGUGUUGUGGUUAAUAACCGCAGCAAUUGACGUUACCCGCAGAAGAAGCACCGGCUAACUCCGUGCCAGCAGCCGCGGUAAUACGGAGGGUGCAAGCGUUAAUCGGAAUUACUGGGCGUAAAGCGCACGCAGGCGGUCUGUCAAGUCGGAUGUGAAAUCCCCGGGCUCAACCUGGGAACUGCAUUCGAAACUGGCAGGCUUGAGUCUUGUAGAGGGGGGUAGAAUUCCAGGUGUAGCGGUGAAAUGCGUAGAGAUCUGGAGGAAUACCGGUGGCGAAGGCGGCCCCCUGGACAAAGACUGACGC